UUGUUCCUACGGGACGCAGCAGUGAGGAAUAUUGGUCAAUGGGAGAGAUCCUGAACCAGCCAAGCCGCGUGAGGGAAGACGGCCCUAUGGGUUGUAAACCUCUUUUGUCGGAGAACAAAACCCGGGACGUGUCCCGGACUGCGUGUAUCCGAAGAAAAAGCAUCGGCUAACUCCGUGCCAGCAGCCGCGGUAAUACGGAGGAUGCGAGCGUUAUCCGGAUUUAUUGGGUUUAAAGGGUGCGCAGGCGGAGGUGCAAGUCAGCGGUCAAAUUGCGGGGCUCACCCCCGUACUGCCGUUGAAACUGC
rnacentral:rRNA from 1 species